rnacentral:rRNA from 1 species
ACGGCUCAGUAACACGUGGAGAACCUGCCCUAAGGUGGGGGAUAAUCUCGGGAAACUGAGGCUAAUACCCUAUAGGUCAUGAAUGCUGGAAUGCUUCGUGGCCCAAAGCUCCGGCGCCUUAGGAUGGCUCUGCGACCUAUCAGGUAGUAGUGAGUGUAACGGACUCACUAGCCUUCGACGGGUACGGGCGUUGAGAGACGUCGCCCGGAGAUGAACUCUGAGACACGAGUUCAGGCCCUACGGGGCGCAGCAGGCGCGAAAACUUCACAAUGUGGGAAACCACGAUGAGGGAACUCCAAGUGCCGGCACUAAGUGUCGGCUGUUUCCAAGCCUAAAAAGCUCGGAGAGUAAGGGCUGGGUAAGACGGGUGCCAGCCGCCGCGGUAAUACCUGCAGCCCAAGUGGUGAUCGUUUUUAUUGGGCCUAAAGCGUCCGUAGCCGGCUUGGUAAAUGCCUGUGUAAAUCGAACGGCUUAACCGUUCGACUUGCGGGUAGACUGCCAGGCUUGGGACCGGGAGAGCUCUGGGGUACUCCAGGGGUAGAGGUGAAAUUCUGUAAUCCUUGGGGGACCACCGGUGGCGAAGGCGCCAGAGUAGAACGGCUCCGACGGUGAGGGACGAAGCCCUGGGGCGCAAACCGGAUUAGAUACCCGGGUAGUCCAGGGUGUAAACGCUGUGGGCUUGGUGUCGCGAGUCCUACGAGGGCACGCGGUGCCGGAGAGAAGUUGUUAAGCCCACCGCCUGGGGAGUACGGCCGCAAGGUUGAAACUUAAAGGAAUUGGCGGGGGAG